CCACUGCUCGAGCCCUUGCCUCCGAGAUCAAAGACGAAAUCCGUGCUUUCAGCUCGAAAACCUGUGCCUUCAGCUCGAAAACCUGCGCCCUCAGUCCAGAGAUUUCGGCCUCAGCCUUCCCUCUCUCCUCCUCCAAGGCGGUCCUCAGAUCGAAUGAGGUUUGUCCCUCCUUUUUCAGCACCUCCUGGAGACUCCGGACC
rnacentral:lncRNA from 1 species